rnacentral:misc_RNA from 1 species
AGUAAAUCAUGCAUAUGCAAAUGCAACUAUAUGCAAGCGACGAUAAUAAGAAGCUGAUAAAGAAAAGAAUUAGACCAACUUCUGAUCUUUUUUUCGUCAGUUUUACUAACGAACAGUGAAUAAACGGGGAAAAAAAAAGAGAAAAGAGAAAAGAAAGCAUGUGGUGGGUGGCUGACUAUGGAGGUGACUUGAUAAUAACACACGCAAAUGAUACGGUCCAUGUUGGGCACUAAGAAAUGGGGAUUCUAGAAAUUCUUCAUGAUCUCAUCAUUUUAUAUAUGCACACAACUUUUCAGCGGCAUGACAAU